UACGUAGGUGGCAAGCGUUGUCCGGAUUUACUGGGCGUAAAGAGCGCGCAGGCGGUCGUUCAAGUCGCGUGUGAAAGCCCCCGGCUCAACUGGGGAGGGUCACGCGAUACUGAUCGACUCGAAGGCAGGAGAGGGUAGUGGAAUUCCCGGUGUAGUGGUGAAAUGCGUAGAUAUCGGGAGGAACACCAGUGGCGAAGGCGACUUCCUGGCCUGUUCUUGACGCUGAGGCGCGAAAGCUAGGGGAGCGAACAGG
rnacentral:rRNA from 1 species